AAAUUGAAGAGUUUGAUCAUGGCUCAGAUUGAACGCUGGCGGCAGGCCUAACACAUGCAAGUCGAGCGGCAGCGGGAAAGUAGCUUGCUACUUUUGCCGGCGAGCGGCGGACGGGUGAGUAAUGCCUGGGAAAUUGCCCAGUCGAGGGGGAUAACAGUUGGAAACGACUGCUAAUACCGCAUACGCCCUACG
rnacentral:rRNA from 1 species